rnacentral:rRNA from 1 species
ACGGAGGAUGCGAGCGUUAUCCGGAUUUAUUGGGUUUAAAGGGUGCGUAGGCGGAUUUAUAAGUCAGUGGUGAAAGUCAACGGCUUAACUGUAGAAUUGCCAUUGAUACUGUAUGUCUUGAGUGUGGUUGAGGUAGGCGGAAUGUGUCAUGUAGCGGUGAAAUGCUUAGAUAUUACACAGAACACCGAUCGCGAAGGCAGCAUACCAAGCAAUAACUGACGCUCAUGCACGAAAGCGUGGGGAUCAAACAG